rfam:Fomitopsis pinicola FP-58527 SS1 unplaced genomic scaffold FOMPIscaffold_54, whole genome shotgun sequence.
GCCCGCCUAGCUCAAUCGGAUAGAGCGUCAGACUCUUAUUCAAGGAUGGUUCGUUCUUUCCUUAGGCGGUGCAAUCUGAAGGCUGCGAGUUCGACCCUCGCGGUGGGCU